rnacentral:rRNA from 1 species
AGCGAACGCUGGCGGCAGGCCUAACACAUGCAAGUCGAACGCAUCGCAAGAUGAGUGGCAGACGGGUGAGUAACGCGUGGGAACAUACCCUUUUCUACGGAAUAGCUCUGGGAAACUGGAAUUAAUACCGUAUACGCCCUACGGGGGAAAGAUUUAUCGGGGAAGGAUUGGCCCGCGUUGGAUUAGCUAGUUGGUGGGGUAAAGGCCUACCAAGGCGACGAUCCAUAGCUGGUCUGAGAGGAUGAUCAGCCACAUUGGGACUGAGACACGGCCCAAACUCCUACGGGAGGCAGCAGUGGGGAAUAUUGGACAAUGGGCGCAAGCCUGAUCCAGCCAUGCCGCGUGAGUGAUGAAGGCCUUAGGGUUGUAAAGCUCUUUCACCGGUGAAGAUAAUGACGGUAGUCGGAGAAGAAGCCCCGGCUAACUUCGUGCCAGCCGCCGCCGUAAGAC